AGCCUUCCUAAUCACAUGAGAAGCAAAGAUAUAUAAGCUAAUUUAUUAUGUUGAAGCUUCAGUAGCUUUAGUCCUCAAGGAAAUGAGCCAUUAGGUACGCGUUGGACUUGUGUCUCAAGUAAUUUUCAUUUGCUCAUGAAGUUUCGUGUCUCAGUCUCUCACCCACUUUUAGUCCACCUCCUAAGUACACGUAUGAUUGUUUUUAAAUCGCCUUUUCAAUGUUUUCAUAAUCACCUCUUCGCUCUAAAU